rnacentral:lncRNA from 10 species
UGACUGGGAAAAUUUCUGCACUGCCAUAGACAGAUCUGCAAGUAAAAGUUAAGCAAAAAAUCCAUAAGAUGGUCUAAGCCUAAAACAAGACAAUGAGACUCAAAGAAGACAAUGAGCUGACAAUGGCUACCAGCAGCUGCUUAUUUAUAUAAGUCAUCUGAGAACCCUAGAAAUGCUCAAUCAGUGGAACUGUGUGCAAUAUUUUGGCAAGGACUCUCCAGAUAAUGAACAAGAUAGUACUAAUAUCUCUCUGUAUUUUCAGGACGAAAACUCAUGAGAAGAGAUGUACAUCUGAGAAAUGAAAUUGUGUAUACUGUUACUGCUUUUUCCAUAUGCUCAUAACUUUUUAAGUAUGGAAAAUUAUCUAUAAUCUAAGACUCACAUUCACAUUCAGAUGUUGUGUAGUGCAGGGACCCAGCCCAUUGUGAUUCAAGGUCAAUGACUUUUAUGAUAAAUAAAGUUUGGGAACCAGUUGCUACGAGGUCUGUGGUGGGGAUGGGGCAGGAGCAAGCAUUGUCUUCAGCCUCCACAUAUGUGCGUGCAUGCACAUGUGUGCACACACACUCUUACACCCUAGCAUUUAUCACUAACCCGUAGCAUAUUUAACUCACUAAUCUGCCACCCACACCCCCUGCCAUUAGAAUCUAAAUUCUAUGAAAGCAUAAAUGUCAGCCUAUUUUGUUCACUGUUCAACAAACAGAUUUGGGCCUAGUAUUUAAAGGCACUUAGCUAGUUUUCCAUAAACAGAUGAAUGAGACCAAAAGCAUCCAGAGUAAAGUCCUCCAAUAGUGGUCUUCUUAAGAUAUGUAUAUCCUAUAGUGGAAUAAAGCUGGAUAAGCACAGCACUUUUUUAUUAUUACUUUCAUGUGAAAACAAAUACAAAUAAAU